rnacentral:tRNA from 1 species
GCGUGUAGCUCAGUUGGGAGAGCGUCGCCCUUACAAGGCGAAUGUCGGGAGUUCGAGCCUCUCCACGCC